UGGAGCACGCCACUUCACUUCCGCGUGAGAGAGAAAAACGGGAAAAAAGGUAUGAAAACUGUACAAUUUCGCAGUCAAACUGAGAAAUGAAGUAGUUGUUGAUACCAUGCUCCGAAAACUCCGUUUCAGAGAGGAAAAACCGUCGUUGAAGCACUUUCCGGCCGCGUUUCUCCUGAAAAAACCAUUGGUCAGGUUCUAUUGUGAUGCUUGGAAAGAGCGAAGCUUCAGCUUUCAUGUCUGACGAAGCUGAUGAGCGAUCCAACUGAUGGCGAGCUCCCAGUCCACCUUCGGUGCUUCAAGCAGAACUUUUAAUUCCGCCACACCACUUAACGGAUUCAGUGGUAGGAUUUGUGUCAGUCCAACUGACCAGCACCAACGAAAGCCUUCCUUGGAUAUCCUGGAAUCUUGACUUUUGACUUUUGGAUCCAAACCACCGAGGAACACUCCCAUUUGGACAUUUAUUUAUUUUAUUUUAUUUCUUAGUUUAUGGGCCCAAGGUUGUAAUGUUAUUGUGUUUAGUAUUGUUAAGAUCUUUGUGGAACUAAAGAGUUUCAAAUCAUUC